rnacentral:rRNA from 1 species
GACGAACGCUGGCGGCGUGCCUAAUACAUGCAAGUCGAGCGCAGGAAGUCAUCCGAACCCUUCGGGGGGACGUUGACGGAAUGAGCGGCGGACGGGUGAGUAACACGUAAAGAACCUGCCCUCAGGUCUGGGAUAACCACGAGAAAUCGGGGCUAAUACCAGAUGGGUCAUCGGACCGCAUGGUCCGAGGAUGAAAGGCGCUCCGGCGUCGCCUGGGGAUGGCUUUGCGGUGCAUUAGCUAGUUGGUGGGGUAAUGGCCCACCAAGGCGACGAUGCAUAGCCGACCUGAGAGGGUGAUCGGCCACACUGGGACUGAGACACGGCCCAGACUCCUACGGGAGGCAGCAGUAGGGAAUCUUCCACAAUGGACGAAAGUCUGAUGGAGCAACGCCGCGUGAACGAUGAAGGCCCUCGGGUCGUAAAGUUCUGUUGUAAGGGAAGAACAAGUGCCGCAGGCAAUGGCGGCACCUUGACGGUACCUUGCGAGAAAGCCACGGCUAACUACGUG